rnacentral:rRNA from 1 species
UACGUAGGGUGCAAGCGUUAAUCGGAAUUGCUGGGCGUAAAGCGUGCGCAGGCGGUUAUGUAAGACAGAUGUGAAAUGCCCGGGCUUAACCUGGGAACUGCAUUUGUGACUGCAUGGCUAGAGUUUGGCAGAGGGGGGUAGAAUUCCACGUGUAGCAGUGAAAUGCGUAGAUAUGUGGAGGAACACCGAUGGCGAAGGCAGCCCCCUGGGUCAAGACUGACGCUCAUGCACGAAAGCGUGGGGAGCAAACAGG